UGAGUACGAGCUGCUACGGCAGCGAAGUGGGUGAUGUCAAGCUUCCAAGAAAAGCCCUAUACCCGUUAAGGCAUGAUGGCCUGUACCCGAAACCGACACAGGUGGGGUGGUAGAGAAUACCGAGGGGCGCGAGGUAACUCUCUCUAAAGAACUCGGCGAAAUGGCCCCGUAACUUCGGGAGAAGGGGUGCCACCGCAAGGUGGUCGCAGUGAAGAGGCCCAGGCGACUGUUUACCAAAAACACAGGUCUCCGCUAAGUCGCAAGACGAUGUAUGGGGGCUGACGCCUGCCCAGUGCCGGAAGGUUAAGGAAGCUGGUCAGCGCAAGCGAAGCUGGCGACUGAAGCCCCGGUGAACGGCGGCCGUAACUAUAACGGUCCUAAGGUAGCGAAAUUCCUUGUCGGGUAAGCUCCGACCCGCACGAAAGGCGUAACGAUCUGGGCGCUGUCUCGGAGAGAGGCUCGGCGAAAUAGAAUUGUCUGUGAAGAUGCGGACUACGUGCACCCGGACAGAAAGACCCUAUGAAGCUUUACUGUAGCUUGGUAUUGUGCCCGGGCUCUGAAUGCGCAGGAUAGGUGGGAGGCUUUGAUCCAUUGCUUGUGGGUGAUGGUGAGCCACUGGUGAGAUACCACUCUUUCAGAGCUAGGGUUCUAACGGUCACCCGUUAUCCGGGGACCGGACAGUAUCAGGUGGGCAGUUUGACUGGGGCGGUCGCCUCCUACAAGGUAACGGAGGCGCGCAAAGGUUCCCUCAGGCUGGUUGGAAAUCAGCCGACGAGUGUAAAGGCAGAAGGGAGCUUGACUGUGAGACCUACAAGUCGAACAGGGACGAAAGUCGGCCUUAGUGAUCCGACGGUUCUGAGUGGAAGGGCCGUCGCUCAACGGAUAAAAGUUACUCUAAGGAUAACAGGCUGAUCUCCCCCAAGAGUUCACAUCGACGGGGAGGUUUGGCACCUCGAUGUCGGCUCAUCGCAACCUGGGGCUGAAGUCGGUCCCAAGGGUUGGGCUGUUCGCCCAUUAAAGCGGUACGCGAGCUGGGUUCAGAACGUCGUGAGACAGUUCGGUCCAUAUCCGGUGCACGCGCAGGAACAUUGAGAGGAUUUCUCCCUAGUACGAGAGGACCGGGAGGAACGCACCUCUGGUGUACCAGUUAUCGUGCCAACGGUAAACGCUGGGUAGCCAUGUGCGGAGUGGAUAACCGCUGAAAGCAUCUAAGUGGGAAGCCCACCUCAAGAUGAGUGUUCCCAUGGCAUAAGCCAGUAAGGUCACGGGAAGAACACCCGUUGAUAGGCUCUACGUGGAAGCGUGGCAACACGUGAAGCGGAGGAGUACUAAUAGACCGAGGGCUUGACC
rnacentral:rRNA from 1 species